GGGCCUUUAGCUCAAUCGGUUAGAGCAGACGCUUUAUAAGCGUCAGGUUGCCGGUUCGAAUCCGGUAAGGCCUACCA
rnacentral:tRNA from 1 species